GAUUAGAGCGGGUGAGGAGGAGGCAGCCCCUGGGGAGAAAGACAAAGGGGAGAAGAGUCCUUGUCUCCUUUGACAAUCUCCCAGUGAGUCUCCCAGAGGGAGAGAAAGAGAGGAGGCGGGCCGAUGGGACGUCUCCCAGGGGCACGGUCCUGGGCCCAGAGGCCGUGGGGGUUUCUCUGACCAAGCGCUUGGAUUUCUGAGAAGUCCCCGGAGGGAGAGAGAACGAGACAGAGAACCCGACGAGAGGGAGGCUGAACUCCCUACUCACCCAGACAUUGGUGACCGAUGUGGAUGUGUAGCGUCAGCAAUGGCAAAGAACAAAUCACAGAUUCAUCCUAACUCUCCAGAAGUCACGUGCUACCUGAGGCUGGUUUGAUCUACUCCCAAGCUAUGCAGCAGAUUUCAUCAGUGCAAUCAUAUCUCCUCUCCUGAAUUCACCUCUCAUUUCAGCCAUGGAGGGCAAUUUCAUGGAAACUCGGGUUCAUCUUCAAGGGAC
rnacentral:lncRNA from 1 species